rnacentral:rRNA from 1 species
CCGGCUUACCAACCCGAUGCAAACUGCGAAUACCGGAGAAUGUUAUCACGGGAGACACACGGCGGGUGCUAACGUCCGUCGUGAAGAGGGAAACAACCCAGACCGCCAGCUAAGGUCCCAAAGUCAUGGUUAAGUGGGAAACGAUGUGGGAAGGCCCAGACAGCCAGGAUGUUGGCUUAGAAGCAGCCAUCAUUUAAAGAAAGCGUAAUAGCUCACUGGUCGAGUCGGCCUGCGCGGAAGAUGUAACGGGGCUAAACCAUGCACCGAAGCUGCGGCAGCGACACUGUGUGUUGUUGGGUAGGGGAGCGUUCUGUAAGCCUGUGAAGGUGUGUCGUGAGGCAUGCUGGAGGUAUCAGAAGUGCGAAUGCUGACAUAAGUAACGAUAAAGCGGGUGAAAAGCCCGCUCGCCGGAAGACCAAGGGUUCCUGUCCAACGUUAAUCGGGGCAGGGUGAGUCGACCCCUAAGGCGAGGCCGAAAGGCGUAGUCGAUGGGAAACGGGUUAAUAUUCCCGUACUUGGUGUUACUGCGAAGGGGGGACGGAGAAGGCUAUGUUGGCCGGGCGACGGUUGUCCCGGUUUAAGCGUGUAGGUGUGUGUUCCAGGUAAAUCCGGUUCACUUUAACACUGAGGCGUGACGACGAGGCACUACGGUGCUGAAGCAACAAAUGCCCUGCUUCCAGGAAAAGCCUCUAAGCAUCAGGUAACAUCAAAUCGUACCCCAAACCGACACAGGUGGUCAGGUAGAGAAUACCAAGGCGCUUGAGAGAACUCGGGUGAAGGAACUAGGCAAAAUGGUGCCGUAACUUCGGGAGAAGGCACGCUGACACGUAGGUGAAGUGAUUUACUCAUGGAGCUGAAGUCAGUCGAAGAUACCAGCUGGCUGCAACUGUUUAUUAAAAACACAGCACUGUGCAAACACGAAAGUGGACGUAUACGGUGUGACGCCUGCCCGGUGCCGGAAGGUUAAUUGAUGGGGUCAGCGCAAGCGAAGCUCCUGAUCGAAGCCCCGGUAAACGGCGGCCGUAACUAUAACGGUCCUAAGGUAGCGAAAUUCCUUGUCGGGUAAGUUCCGACCUGCACGAAUGGCGUAAUGAUGGCCAGGCUGUCUCCACCCGAGACUCAGUGAAAUUGAACUCGCUGUGAAGAUGCAGUGUACCCGCGGCAAGACGGAAAGACCCCGUGAACCUUUACUAUAGCUUGACACUGAACAUUGAGCCUUGAUGUGUAGGAUAGGUGGGAGGCUUUGAAGUGUGGACGCCAGUCUGCAUGGAGCCGACCUUGAAAUACCACCCUUUAAUGUUUGAUGUUCUAACGUGGACCCGUUACCCGGGUUGCGGACAGUGUCUGGUGGGUAGUUUGACUGGGGCGGUCUCCUCCUAAAGAGUAACGGAGGAGCACGAAGGUUGGCU